rnacentral:lncRNA from 1 species
UAAAAUCAAUAUUUUAAAAUUGUUUCUGCAAUCUAUUUGUUGUUGAACCGAAUUUUGUUAAAUAUGAUUAAAUUUUAUAAUUUUUUAAUUUUUAGUAUAUCUCUGUAAUUGUGGGGGAAGUUCUUUUAUCAGUUUGAUAAAUUUUGAUAUUAUACUUACCCUCGUGAUUUUAUUUUGUUUAUCUUAAUGUUUAGCUUGUAAAUGAUAUUAGUAAAUUCUAAAGUUAACUGACAUAUUAAAUUGAAAUAGAAGCAUGUUAGAUGACUAACCUCUCAUGACAUUAUAAUUUCAGUUUUGUCAGAUUUGAUCAGAAAUUUUGUAGAUUACUUAAUGAAAGGCCUGAACAGGACUAAGCUCUAGAAUCAUCGAGGGGGAUGGGACUUGCCCAUAAUGGGCCUUCCUGCAGUGGGAACCCAACCUUUGUGAUAGGAGAUCCCUUGAAGAAGGUUCAAUGUGGUAAAAACAAGCUGUCAGGUUGGCCAAAGAGCACUUUCUACAAAUUUUAUAUAGGAGCUUUAGCUCCAAUCCCAUCCCUAUGGUGAGUAGUGCUCUGUGUAGUGGAUUAGGUUGAGCUGAUAGCUCUUAAUGGGAUCCAAGACGGUAAUUUUCGCGAGAUGUGACUCUACACACAUCUCUGGAGGAAACCACCUAUAUAAGAGUAUCCGUAUGUGGCCGCGGCUAUAUGAAUGGGCUAUACAUAGAAACUCUUAUGAAAAAUCAAGGUACUGUGCAUGGCCAUUAACGCACAGACCCGCGACGGAGAAUUCUGUACUGUGUGUGUGAUAGUUGAAGUCAGGGACAAAGGAACGUAGUUCAAGACCUGGUUCACUCUAAUUCUUUCUGAUGGAAACUAUUUACACUAAGUAAGGUUAAGUUUCUUAAAGACAUCUUACCUAUUGCAUAGUAUAAACACCCGGUGAUCUAUUCUUUAAUUUGUUUUCGAGUAUAAUUCUUAUUUUGAAAAUUUUAAAUUUUGUGGGGGAUUAUUGAAAAAACUCAAAAUUUUCUAAUAUAUAUUUUUAUUUAUUUAUAUUUAUAUAUUUAU